rnacentral:rRNA from 1 species
AUUGAACGCUGGCGGCAGGCCUAACACAUGCAAGUCGAGCGGGGUUUUCGGACCUAGCGGCGGACGGGUGAGUAAUGCGUAGGAAGCUACCCGAUAGAGGGGGAUACCAGUUGGAAACGACUGUUAAUACCGCAUAAUGUCUACGGACCAAAGUGUGGGACCUUCGGGCCACAUGCUAUCGGAUGCGCCUACGUGGGAUUAGCUAGUUGGUGGGGUGAUGGCUCACCAAGGCGACGCUACCUAGCUGGUUUGAGAGGAUGAUCAGCCACACUGGAACUGCAACACGGACCCGACUCCUACGGGAGGCAGCAGUGGGGAAUAUUGGACAAUGGGCGCAAGCCUGAUCAAGCCAUGCCGCGUGUGUGAAGAAGGCCUUCGGGUUGUAAAGCACUUUCAGUAGGGAGGAAGGGUGUUGUGUUAAUAGCACAGCAUUUUGACGUUACCUACAGAAGAAGCACCGGCUAACUCUGUGCCAGCCGCCGCCGUAACAC